ACGUACACUCCUGCGGGAGGCAGCAGUGGGGAAUUUUGGACAAUGGGCGCAAGCCUGAUCCAGCCAUGCCGCGUGCGGGAAGAAGGCCUUCGGGUUGUAAACCGCUUUUGUCAGGGAAGAAAAGGUUCUGGCUAAUACCUGGGACUCAUGACGGUACCUGAAGAAUAAGCACCGGCUAACUACGUGCCAGCAGCCGCGGUAAUACGUAGGGUGCAAGCGUUAAUCGGAAUUACUGGGCGUAAAGCGUGCGCAGGCGGUUAUGCAAGACAGAGGUGAAAUCCCCGGGCUCAACCUGGGAACUGCCUUUGUGACUGCAUGGCUAGAGUACGGUAGAGGGGGAUGGAAUUCCGCGUGUAGCAGUGAAAUGCGUAGAUAUGCGGAGGAACACCGAUGGCGAAGGCAAUCCCCUGGACCUGUACUGACGCUCAUGCACGAAAGCGUGGGGAGCAAACAGGAUUAGAUACCCGGGUAGUCCCAUGA
rnacentral:rRNA from 1 species